AACAGUGACACAAGCUCGCGUUUUGGAAAAAAAUCAGCAUUUUGUCACUCCCGUGGCAUUGCGCCUAAUAACUUCAUGUACAGGUGCGGCUCCGUGGUUUUGCGCCAAAUGAUUCGUCUUCGGGAAGUUGAAAAAAAAACGUUACAUGGGGAGCUUGAAUGCCUCCACAUAUGACGUCAUCGAUGGAAUGUGCCACUGCAGCAAAACGUCAAACCACUCCAAAAAAAUCUAGCAAAGCGCGUCGAUCGAGUAAACAAACCAGAAGCUGUUGCCUGAAAUCGAGUAAACAUUUGAGUGAAUAAUUGAACAUUAGUUAAAUAAAUUAUUGCUGGACGUAAUCUGGAAACAAUGUCCCGCUUGGAAACUGCAAAAGUUGCAAAAAAUUCACCCCGACCCAUGGCCAGGUGUCUGUAAUGUAACAAUCAUCAUCCAUUGAACCACAUUGUGCAACCACAAGCAAUGCAAUAAAAAGAUCAACGGAGGACCAAUAUGCUUCAAAACUAGGUUUGUUUGCGAAAGGUGUACGUAAAGGAUCAAUUUUCGGGCCAGAAGUACCUUUGUGGGAAGCAAUCUGCGGCAACCACUUCAGGCAAGAGUUGGUUCAGCUGUUGUUCAUUUCGGAGGCGCACUUUCUCCUUCAAAGAAUGGCAAAAGGACAGACAAAUAGGGACAGGAUCAUGGCAGGGUCCUUUAGGCUGCUUCUGGCAAGCAAUCGGAAGAAGUCAUUAUGGGAAUUAAUUGAUGUGUAAAUAGUGGAAACAUAAUCCCGGGCUACGAGAGUGUGUUUGAGUAGGCUGUGGCGUGGUUCUGGAGAUUUCCGUUGGUCCAGAAGGCACACGAAGGUUUUGCUUGUUUGCUGUUUGUGGGACAGAAGUAAGAAGACAUUGAUCGAAACACUGAAAGUCAGUAAAAUUUUUAACAGAGCUUUAUUUGUGUUCUUUAGUGUCAGGAGACGGUAACCAAUCGUCGGGAAAAGCAUCACGGUGUAUUUUGUUGAUACCACCAACUACCGGCGGCUAUGUACAAUGUGUCACAAAAAUGAGAAACAAACCCCGAAGGCGUAUGCCACCCCAUCUGAUCCGGAAUCAGUAAGCUGUUUUACGCCAAAUCAAAGUGACAAAAACAAACCCACACGGGAAAAGCUAAUCGUUACCAUCCAUGCACGUGGCCUACUAGUCCUUGGUGUUGUGGUCGUCA